rnacentral:lncRNA from 1 species
UGGCCAUCGCCGGCACGUGUGCAGCGGGCACUGAGGCCCAGGCUGUGGUUCCGGAUCCAGGGACGGAUGUACAUGCUUGCGCUGCCGCCGUAGAGACUGACCCAGGUCCCAUCUCUCGUACAGCUGUCUGCCGCUCUACUCCCGAGCUCUCCCAGAAUAAGACCUCGGGGUCACUUGUCCUUGAGGCCGGCCCCGAAGAGGACCUGGCCCGCACUGACCAGUCCAGGAGCUCCGGGUCGGGUUGGGUUCCCUUUCCUUUGCCCUCCUCUCUCCUGUCCCGCCGCGCGAG